CUCUCAUUCUUUUACUUGACUACUUCACACCGAAACCCUAGCCUCCCUUCCCUCUUUCUUCUAGAGCAAUCAUCGUCAUCUUCACCACUUAUUAAGGAUCAAUUAGAUGUUGAUCAAUCAGUACAGAAAUGAAUACAAAUAUAUACAAAUAUAUGUGAUUCGAAUAAAGGAAGAUGGUGACGUUGGUUGUGGCCUGAAGAGAAACGACGACGAAGAAUGGUUGAUUUAGGGUUCUUCAGUUCGGGUAAUGUGAUGGUUGAUUUAGGGAUUCUGAAACCGUAAGUUUUCUUCUCCCGUUUUACACUGAUUUCUUCAUCUGGCGAACUUCCAGGAAGAUGGUGAUGGUGGCCUGGAAAGGAACGAUGACAACGGCAUGUGUUGAUUUAGUGUUUCUCAAGUGGUGGUCUUAUGAUGGUUGUUGUUUAACGCAAAGACGGAAGGGCGGCGGCUAGGGUUCCACCACAUAACUUUGACCAGUUGUGGUUUCCGCCGGUUAUCGGUAGAUCAACCAGGAAUGAUAUUGUACGAGUUAUGCGAUUUGUUUGGAAUGUACAUGAUAGAUGAAACAAGUUAUGGACCAAAUCAUGUUGCUCUUGCUGGCCAAAAGAGUUCCAGUAACAAAGACCAAUCUUUGUACGCGUUGGUCGGGGUGACCAGAACCACUUAUGAGUUAUUUUCAAUAACUGGUUGUGGUAUUGAUAUCGGUAUUUAAAGAAAACUUUGACUGAGGAAUGUAUGCUUGCCUAAUUUGGUUGUUUGGAAGAGGGGAGAGUGAGUUUUCUGUUGGUAUAAGGCUAGCCUUGGUUCAACAGGAUUAAGACAGUUUGACUUAUAAGAAGUUAACCCAAAGUAGAAGUUGAAGAAUAUCAUGUUGGGGCAUCAUGAGGCAAAGGUAAAGUAUUAAUAUUAAAGCUCCAACAUAAUGAUGAUGCUGCUGCUCAAGUCUAUGGUCGAACUACAUAACCUGUGGAAAAGCAUAUGAAUAACUCUAUAAGUGUGUUUGUAUCUCACAACUUAAAUUAUCAUUUUCUCUAUAAUAUUUAUCUUCAUCUUACUGUAUAAAUGACAUUGUUAAUAAUAAACUUGGAAUAAAACGCUUAUGACACUGUUUUAAUAUACAUUUUAUUUAAUAUUGC
rnacentral:lncRNA from 1 species